AGAGUUUGAUCAUGGCUCAGAUUGAACGCUGGCGGUAUGCUUAACACAUGCAAGUCGAACGGAAACGAUAGUAGCUUGCUACUAGGCGUCGAGUGGCGGACGGGUGAGUAAUGCAUAGGAAUCUGCCCUUUAGCGGGGGACAACUUGGGGAAACUCAAGCUAAUACCGCAUAAUACCCACGGGUUAAAGGUGGCCUCUUCUAGAAAGCUAUCGCUAAAGGAUGAGCCUAUGUUGGAUUAGCUAGUUGGUAAGGUAAAAGCUUACCAAGGCGACGAUCCAUAGCUGGUCUGAGAGGACGAUCAGCCACACUGGGACUGAGACACGGCCCAGACUCCUACGGGAGGCAGCAGUGGGGAAUAUUGGACAAUGGGCGCAAGCCUGAUCCAGCAAUACCGCGUGUGUGAAGAAGGCCUGAGGGUUGUAAAGCACUUUCAAUUGUGAAGAAAAGCUUUAGGUUAAUAACCUAGGGUCUUGACGUUAACUUUAGAAGAAGCACCGGCUAACUCUGUGCCAGCAGCCGCGGUAAUACAGAGGGUGCGAGCGUUAAUCGGAAUUACUGGGCGUAAAGAGUACGUAGGCGGUUUAGUAAGUCAGAUGUGAAAGCCCUGGGCUCAACCUAGGAACUGCAUUUGAUACUGGAUACCUAGAGUAUGGGAGGGGGAGAUGGAAUUAGUGGUGUAGGGGUAAAAUCCGUAGAUAUCACUAGGAAUACCGAAAGCGAAGGCGAUCUCCUGGAACAUUACUGACGCUAAGGCGUGAAAGCGUGGGGAGCAAACGGGAUUAGAUACCCCGGUAGUCCACGCCCUAAACGAUGAACACUAGUCGUCGGGAUGCUUGUCAUCUCGGUGAUGCACUUAACAGAUUAAGUGUUCCGCCUGGGGAGUACGGUCGCAAGAUUAAAACUCAAAGGAAUAGACGGGGACCCGCACAAGUGGUGGAGCAUGUGGUUUAAUUCGAAAAUACGCGAAGAACCUUACCUAGCCUUUACAUUGAUUGAACGGACCAGAGAUGGACCCGUGUGCCUUCGGGAACUCUGUGACAGGUGCUGCAUGGCUGUCGUCAGCUCGUGUUGUGAAAUGUUGGGUUAAGUCCCGCAACGAGCGCAACCCCUAUCCUUAUUUGCCAGCGCGUAGUGGCGGGAACUCUAAGGAGACUGCCGGUAUAAACCGGAGGAAGGUGGGGACGACGUCAAGUCAUCAUGGCCCUUACGGGAUGGGCUACACACGUGCUACAAUGGCAGGUACAGAGGGCAGCAAAGCCGCGAGGUUGAGCGAAUCCCACAAAGCUUGUCGUAGUCCGGAUCGGAGUCUGCAACUCGACUCCGUGAAGUCGGAAUCGCUAGUAAUCGUAGAUCAGAAUGCUACGGUGAAUACGUUCCCGGGCCUUGUACACACCGCCCGUCACACCAUGGGAGUGGGUUGCAAAAGAAGUGGCUAGUCUAACCUUCGGGAGGACGGUCACCACUUUGUGAUUCAUGACUGGGGUGAAGUCGAAACAAGGUAACC
rnacentral:rRNA from 1 species